rnacentral:rRNA from 1 species
AUGCGUAUAGAGGAUAUCAAAGCGGACACCAUUGACGUGGCCGUCGAAAGGAUUCUCGUUGAACUUGGGGCAGACACUACAAGCAGCAGAGAGAAUGCCAUCUACUUUGAUGGUUGGGAUGGUCUUGGGGCAUCUGCCGUCCUGCAAGCUGUAGCCGAACGCCUCGCCAUAUCAAAUGAGCCGUCGACGAGGCCCACAGGGCUGGAGUUUGAGAAAAUCAUCCACGUCGACUGCUCCAAGUGGGAGAGCACAAGAGCAAUGCAGAGGGAAAUUGCAGAGCAGCUGAAGCUUCCCAAGUGGGUGAUGGAAAUAUUUGACAAACAAGACGAGGAGGAUGAUUUCAAUGGGUUAGACCAGGGCUCCCGAACUGUGAUAGCACAAGUUGUCAGAGAGAUCUAUCAAGCCACACAAAAUCGCAGAUUCUUGGUGAUUCUGCACAAUGGAAGCAAUGUAGCGAUUGAUGUAUAUAAAUUUGGUCUCUAUAUAUAUGGAUAUGCCAAUAGCAAGAUGCUGUGGACUUUUCAAGGGAGGUUUCGUCUUGACCCCAAGAUGAUAGACAAUGUGAAGAAGAGCACCUCAACUGAUGUUGUUCUUUCAGCUUCAAGAGAUCGACGAGAUCCACAGGAGCUUUGGUCUUACCUACUGCACCAUGAGGCUGCACAAGUUUCCUGCAGCUGCAAUAAGAAUGGCCACGGUAUCAUUGAUCCAGCAAUUGUUGUUGAGUGUGCCUUGUAUGUGCUGAAACAAUGUUGUAUCGGCUCUCCUAUUGUUGACUACGACUGGCCUGCCCACACCAGUAACUAUUGGGUAUGCGACGGGAUCAUUGUGCUGACAGACAUUGACAAAGCAUGGCAAGUUGGCGAUGUUCUGCAGCAUGAGGUGCGUCUGUUGGACAUUGACAACCGGCAUAAUACUGGUGAGUCAACAAUAAUGCCUUCCUCUCACUUGUCAAGGUCUACCGAGCAUAUGCAGUACUGGAUUUCCACAUCAACGUGUGGAUUUGAGCUGAGCUCUUCUGGAGUUAUGCCUGACGACAUGUUUCAGCACUCACACCUACUCGGCGUGCUCAAGCUCUCGAGGUGUACCUUUAGCUUCUCAUCGCCUCCAUUCCUCUGUUGCCAUAGCCUGAGAUUCCUGUCAUUUCUGCACUGCCAAGACCUCCGAACAAGAACAAGCAAUGCACAUCAUUACCACACAGAUUCAGACAAGGAGUUGGACAGCAGCACCACAGUGUUGUGGGAAUGUUUCCAAAGCUUGUGGGUGCUUGAUCUACGCUACACAGAUUGGGACCAGAUCUUGUCAGCACGGAUGAUGGAUCUCAUGACCUGGCUCAGAGAGCUAAUCGUUAUGGGAGCCAAUAACUGGGACAUGAGCCAUUUACGGGGGCGGCUGCGCAACAUUCGCAAGCUUCGUGUAACAAAGUCCACGUGCUGCUUUAACAACGAUGUGUUCUCAGAGAUGGAGAUGUUGGAGCUUCUUGAUUUAUCGGGAAAUACCAUCACACGAGGCAUGACAAGCUUAUCUGGAGCUGCAAGAAACCACAGCCUUCAGACUGUCAUUAUCUAUGGAAAUUAUGGGUUAGAACUGAUCUCUUUUAGGGGCUGCAAAGAAUUGAAGAACCUAUUGCUGAAAGGAUAUUUCUCGAGCCUUGAGGGGCUAGACAUCUCGGGCACAAGUGUGAAAACCCUCGACCUUGGAGGAGUGGAUGCUACCUCACUCCCCGAGAGGAUCAUCUUGCUAGGCUGCAAGAAGCUCCGUGCAAUAUUGUGGCCACAACACAAAAAAAGCCAAGAAUGGUCUGGCAUGCUCCGUAUUGACACCACCUCAACAUCAGCACCAGCUGAUGGAAGGGGAGUACCAAAGGCACAUCAAUCCUUUGAGCAGCAGAAAGAAGAGAAGUUUAAGGGGUGGAAGAUUUCGCUUAAAGAUGCAAGGCUCCUUAGGUCACUUUAUCCCGCCAGAUAUAAAUCCUUAAGAGGCUGCCAUAUUGAUAUCUGCCAUGCAGACACUCUUGUUGGUAGCAAGGUCCUAGAAGCAAGCAGUGACCAACCGUAUUCACGUACUAAAGUAGACUCAAUAUACAGAAAUAUCCUGAAGGCUGGCCCAGCUGCAGCAGUGACAGUAUGGGACUGCCCUAUGAUACCCCUGCCACCGCAAAUGUGGAGGUUUCUCCAGGUAUCAUGUAUCAUAAAGGUGAUCAUGCACGGGCAAGGGAACACACUUUUGGAGGAUGCCUUAUUAUUGCCUGAUUUUAUAUGCGACGGGGCUUCAUCAUUGCAUGUGUAUGAUAACCCUUCCAUCACCAGUGUCCUUGCACCUCCCCAAAGAUCGGGAUGGAAUAGGCUCAUAUGGUGCCGGGUGGAGAGGUGCCCCAAGUUACACGCGGUGUUCACUAUUCCCAUGGUGCAUCAAGGUACAUUCUCUUAUAAUGUUUCCACGGGCUUCCAGAGUCUGAAGACAUUCUGGGCAUCCCAGCUCCUGACAGCACGCUAUAUCUGGGACUGGGACUGGACAACUGCAACAAUGUAUAUUAAACACUCCGGUUACUUUAUAAGUCUGGUAUUCUUGCACCUGGACUACUGCCCCAGGCUCAUACAUGUGCUCGUCUUGGCCACACCUUCGGUCACCUUGGGUGCACUGGAGACCCUUGAGAUAGUGCACUGUGGUGAUCUCAGAGAGGUGUUCCCAUUGGGCCCUGAGCUUCAAGAGCAGGAUAAAAUUAUAAAAUUUCCGAAGCUGAGGCGCAUCCACCUGUGUGAGCUCCCCAAGCUGCAGAGCAUUUGUGGGCAUAAGAUGUAUUCCCCUAACCUCGAGACCAUCAAGAUCACGGGCUGUUGGAGCCUCAGGCGUCUGCCGACUGUUGGAGACAACACCAAGCCCCCCAAGCUGGACUGCGAGAAGGAAUGGUGGAACAACCUGGAGUGGGGUGGCGUGGAGAACCACCACCCUUCCCGGUACGAGUCAAGGCACUCGUUGUACUACAAGGGUCAGCUUCCCAGACGCAGCGUACUCAGGUAA